rnacentral:miRNA from 1 species
AGUUUGAAACUGACACACGGU